AUUGAACGCUGGCGGCAGGCCUAACACAUGCAAGUCGAGCGGAGCGGCGGACGGGUGAGUAAUGCCUAGGAAUCUGCCUGGUAGUGGGGGAUAAAGUCCGGAAACGGGCGCUAAUACCGCAUAAUAUCAGAUGAGCCUAGGUCGGAUUAGCUAGUUGGUGGGGUAAAGGCCUACCAAGGCGACGAUCCGUAACUGGUCCGAGAGGAGGAUCAGGCACCCUUGAACUGAGACACGGUCCGGACUCAGACGGUGGGCAGCUGUGGUGAAUAUUGGACAAUGGGCGAAAGCCUGAUCCAGCCAUGCCGGGUGUGUGAAGAAGGUCUUCGGAUUGUAAAUCACUUUAAGUUGAGAGGCGUUACCAACAGAAUAAGCACCGGCUAACUUCGUGCCAGCACCGCGGUAAUAC
rnacentral:rRNA from 1 species